rnacentral:rRNA from 1 species
AGAGUUUGAUCCUGGCUCAGAACGAACGCUGGCGGCAUGCCUAACACAUGCAAGUCGAACGAAGUCUUCGGACUUAGUGGCGCACGGGUGCGUAACGCGUGGGAAUCUACCCUUGGGUACGGAAUAACUCAGAGAAAUUUGUGCUAAUACCGUAUAAUGACUUCGGUCCAAAGAUUUAUCGCCCAAGGAUGAGCCCGCGUAAGAUUAGCUAGUUGGUGGGGUAAAAGCCUACCAAGGCGACGAUCUUUAGCUGGUCUGAGAGGAUGAUCAGCCACACUGGGACUGAGACACGGCC